CUUAAAACAAAAUCAAAUAAUCAAAAUCCCUAAAUUCUCUUCUCUCUCUCACUUCUUCUUCUACCUUGGAGCCCUUGCUCUUCUUCGUUAAUUCUCCUCCUCCUCCUUCUGUUACAAACCAGAUGAGCUUACCUCAAGCUUAUCAAAAUCCUCACCGGUUUAAAAGUCAAAGGAGCUGACCAAUUGGUUCGCCUCGACGACGACGGAGCCAAGGAGGAAAAUUCGGAAGAUGGAUGACACUGAGCUAAUCACGAGCAUCGAUCAGAAGAUGGAAGACGCUUCGCUCGAUCAGGAGACGGAAGACGACGCUUCGGCCGCGAAUCCUGCCCCAACUGCCCGAACUGCCCCACUCUCGUCGGAUGAUACCGAGUCGAAUCAUCAUGAGAUUAAAACCAUCUCCGCCAAUCCUAACAACUACGAUGCUUAUGUCCAAACUUCUGGAGAUCCUACACGCGGAGGAGCGUGUGUAAAAGAAGAGUCUUUGGCGAAGAGUAAAGUUCAAAAAGUGAACGACGUGGACUCAGAUGAUAAGAGUGCAACUCUGUCAAACAAAAUAACAGAGACUGGAAAUAAAGAAGAGACGGAAGAAGAAGCGCAACCAGUGAAGCCAGACGAGUGUACAGCUUUUCUUUCAAACCUCAGUGCUAAGGCACAAGGUGUAAGCUCUAGUAGCCUUCUUAAUUCAGUACUCGACAGUGUUGAAGCCCCAUCAAAUGCUCCUCCGCUGGGUGCUCAGAUAUCUAAGGAAAAGCAGAUAGGAUUCUCUGGAGCAGUGUCAUCUAGUUCAGUAGGACAUGUAGCUGUGUCUUCUGAUUCUGUUAUUGCCAGCAUUGAGUUGGAGAAAAAUAGUCUUUUGCAGAGUAGUCUUGAUUCAAAUGAAGUGAGCAGGAAUGCGUCUGAGACCGUAUGUGCGUCGCAUGAUGUGAGUAUUGCCCAUAAUAGCGAAAAUGUGCCUUCGUCGGCUCAUGUAACGGACAAUCAGGAUUCCGAUAGUUCAUCUAGAUUAUCAGGUGGUCAUGGUAGAAAUGAUAAAGUUGCGAAUGACAGUAUGAUUGCUCAUGCUCAGAAUGAAGACAAAGAAGAUGAUAAGAGCCAUUUAGACACAGAGAAGAGAGUAAAACGGAGAAAAAAACGCAGGUCUUCUAGGUCAAUGACCAUAUCCCAGCGCCUUGGAGCGAUUGACAAAACAACCGCUGAUAUUGACCUCGGUAUUUUGGAUGCCUUGGAGGUAGCUACCAAGGUCGCACAGGAAGUGGCUAGAGAAGUGGACUCCGGGGAAGCUUCUCACAGUUCUUCAGAGGAACUAUCUGAUGAAAGCGGGCAGUCUGGUUCGCAAGACUCUCACGAUGAUGAUGAUUUACUCACAGGUUCUCCAUCUAAAAGAUUAUCAGUGGGUGAAAGCCAUUCUCUCGAGGAACCGCGUGUUGGAGAUGACGAUGUAAUGGUUGAGAAUAGUAAUCGUGAGGAUGGGAUGAUGAACAGUGAUGAUGUAAAGGAGAAGCACCUGGCGGAACCUGCUAAAUCCGAAGUAGGGAGAGAGAAAAACCCAUGUGGCUUUGACCUCAAUGAAGAUAUUUGUCCUGAUGAAACCGAUGUCAUUAUGUCUGGUUCACAUUCUGGUAUGCCUGCAGCGGCACCGUUGCAAUUGGAAAGAUCUCUUACUGCGAAAGGGUUGGCUGCUUGUAGUGUAUCCCACUCAGAAUCACCUCACAAAGUUCCUAGUGGGGAUUCGAGAGAAAAGCAGGUGAUAUGUGUCGAUCUGAAUAUUGCUGAUGUAGGAGAUGAUCAAGUUGAAGAUCAAACUCCCUGGAAACAGUUUCCUUUCACCUCAUCAAACUCUAGGGAUGGAGAGUCCUCACAUGAAGCUAACUUCCGGGGAUCAAGCAGGUUCAACUUGGAUUUGAAUUGUACAGACGAGGACGAUGACAUUCCUCUACCUUCUCAGUUGAAGAUGGAAACGAGAUUGUUUCUAAGUCACAAUGGGCAGCAAACCGCAUUACCUUCAGUUUCUCAGCAAUCAGGGAAGGAAGUAAACUUUGACUUGAAUGACAGGCCACAGUUUUUCAUCGAGUCACGUGAUCAGGGUACCUACUCUGGGCAGCACCCAUGGAGCACAGCCUCCUAUGGAGGAGGGCACAAAUUAGACGAACCCGUUAUCUCUCUAUUGGGUACAAAAGUGGACGUUGACAGAAAAGAGACUGUUUCCCAGAUGGCUUCGUUCCUGUCCAAUGGUAAGUCCUUCGAGACAGCAGCAGGAUCAUACAUGGGAAAAACAGGAAACUCUUUGGGUAUAGCCCCUGGUGUCUCCUUUUCUCCAGCUCCUAUAUAUGGGUACAACGGAUUUACUGGUCCUCCUGGUUUGUCAAUGUCACCAUCGCCCAUGUAUGUUCCUGGAACAGCUAUUCCAUACAUGGUGGACGCAAGGGGUACGCCAGUGAUGAUGCCUCAAAUGAUGGGGUCGGCCCCAUAUGCUCAGCCACCAUUUCCUCAACAGCACAUGUUCAUGAGCUUGGCGGGUGGAUCGCAUAGUCUGAAUGGAUCAGGGCAGCCACGCUUUGAUCAAAGUUAUGGGUUUGGGGGUGAGAUGGGAAACAGAGAGUCCCUAAGUUUGAGGCAGUUUCUAUCACCAGGACAAAGCGAGGCUAUGGGAGAGCAUUCAGGAGCAAAUGUAGAGCCUUCGUCGAGUUUAUCUAUUAGCAUUGGUGGAAAGCGAAAAGAGCCGGAGACUCGUUGGGAGUUCCCUCCUCCAUGGAGAUGAGUGAUUCGCAGAAAGUGGAGAUUGGGUUCUUAAUAGGUGGAUGGAUUGGUUGAUUGGUUAGAGAAUAACAGAAGUGUUGGGAGGAACAGAUUUUGAGCUGUUGUUUGUGGUUCCUAGAAACAGAGAGUUGUUCUGUCGUAGAACAAGUUCAAGUCCUUUUGUUUGUCACGCACCUUCAUGUCUGAGCAAAACAAUACUUUAGAGAAUAUCCAGCAGUUCAAGUUCUAUGCACAAUCAUACCAAUAUCAAGCAGCUAAACGUAGCAGUGGGGGAAGUAGACGAAGCACCCAGAAACUCAUUUUUAGCAUUGGAAGUCAGACGCAAUAAAGAAGUAUAUAUAUAAAGCUUCUCGGGUAUUCUGCAAACCUUGAAAAGCUAAGAAAAGCUAUUAGUGCCGUGUUUCCAUUAAGUCCUUCUCUGUGGCUAGAAUGAGGGAAUGAAGCAUCUAUAGCCUCCUGUAAAUGAAUCUGGAAAAUUUCCUAGUUUCCGUAUGAUCAUGCUUAGAUGAAAUCCUGUUGGAACUUAAGGGAAGAAAUAAUGAUAAAGUAUAUUUUUCCAUCUGCAUUGAUUGGGACUGGCAUGUGUUGGCUUUGUGGAUGAUGAAGACCUUGCAGCAGCUAUAGCAAAGAACAAAAUGAUGUUUCUCGGUAAGAAGAUCAGUAUAGAACGGUCAAAAUCCAAAGAAGGAUAAAAAACGGAUUUCGCUCGGCCUGGAAAUGAAGGUUCGGGGAAUUCAAAGGACACAUCUCAGGGUUUUGAGAAGGCGAAAGCACCUUCUUCUCAUUCCAUGGAUAUAGCUUUUCUUGUUCUACUUUUUAACGCACUCUGAAGCAAAUCUUAUACUGUAGACUGACAAUAUCUUGAAACACACAUUUGAGUUAUUGCAAGAGGACCUUGUCGUCA